CUUGGGUCAUUUCGAGGAAGUAAAAGUCGUAACAAGGGUUUCCGUAGGUGAACCUCGCGGAAGGAUCAUUCAUAACGAGUGUUUAUGGCACUCUAAAAAUCCAUACCCACCUUGUGUGCAGCGUUAAGAGUCUUUUGUCUCUCUCUGAGGGCACGAGAUUUCUUUUAAUUAAUCUACCUUAAACCAGUUUGUCUGAAGCAUUGUAUAUGAAUAACAUAAUUCAAAAUACAACUUUCAACAACGGAUCUCUUGGCUCUCGCAUCGAUGAAGAACGCAGCGAAAUGCGAUACGUAAUGUGAAUUGCAGAAUUCAGUGAAUCAUCGAAUCUUUGAACGCACAUUGCGCUCUCUGGUAUUCCGGAGAGCAUGCUUGUUUGAGUAUCAGUAAAACACCCUCAGUUCUCUUUUUGAGAACUGGACUUGAGUUAUCCCAACGGCGGUUUCAAAACUACUGGCGGGUCGCUUGAAAUGCAGGUGCGGCUGGACACAUCUUCUGAGCUAUAAGCAUUACUUAUUUAAUCCCGUCAGACGGAUUAUUUCUACUGCUACAGCUAAUAUAAAGGUCGAUUGUCCGUUUGCCCGACUGAUGCAGAAAAAACAGAGAGAAAUCUUUGUUCACCCGAUCUCAAAUCAAGUAAGACUACCCGCUGAACUUAAGCAUAUCAAUAAGCGGAGGA
rnacentral:rRNA from 1 species